rnacentral:rRNA from 1 species
UUUGAUCCUGGCUCAGAUUGAACGUUGGCGGCAUGCCUUACACAUGCAAGUCGAACGGCAGCACGGGAGCAAUCCUGGUGGCGAGUGGCGAACGGGUGAGUAAUACAUCGGAACGUGCCCAAUCGUGGGGGAUAACGCAGCGAAAGCUGUGCUAAUACCGCAUAAGAUCUAUGGAUGAAAGCAGGGGACUCGCAAGGGCCUUGCGCGAAUGGAGCGGCUGAUGGCAGAUUAGGUAGUUGGUGAGGUAAAGGCUCACCAAGCCAUCGAUCUGUAGCUGGUCUGAGAGGACGAUCAGCCACACUGGGACUGAGACACGGCCCAGACUCCUACGGAAGGCAGCAGUGGGGAAUUUUGGACAAUGGGCGCAAGCCUGAUCCAGCCAUGCCGCGUGCAGGAUGAAGGCCUUCGGGUUGUAAACUGCUUUUGUACGGAACGAAAAGGCUCUUUCUAAUAAAGAGGGCUCAUGACGGUACCGUAAGAAUAAGCACCGGCUAACUACGUGCCAGCAGCCGCGGUAAUACGUAGGGUGCGAGCGUUAAUCGGAAUUACUGGGCGUAAAGCGUGCGCAGGCGGUGAUGUAAGACAGUUGUGAAAUCCCCGGGCUCAACCUGGGAACUGCAUCUGUGACUGCAUCGCUGGAGUGCGGCAGAGGGGGAUGGAAUUCCGCGUGUAGCAGUGAAAUGCGUAGAUAUGCGGAGGAACACCGAUGGCGAAGGCAAUCCCCUGGGCCUGCACUGACGCUCAUGCACGAAAGCGUGGGGAGCAAACAGGAUUAGAUACCCUGGUAGUCCACGCCCUAAACGAUGUCAACUGGUUGUUGGGUCUUCACUGACUCAGUAACGAAGCUAACGCGUGAAGUUGACCGCCUGGGGAGUACGGCCGCAAGGUUGAAACUCAAAGGAAUUGACGGGGACCCGCACAAGCGGUGGAUGAUGUGGUUUAAUUCGAUGCAACGCGAAAAACCUUACCCACCUUUGACAUGUACGGAAUUUGCCAGAGAUGGCUUAGUGCUCGAAAGAGAGCCGUAACACAGGUGCUGCAUGGCUGUCGUCAGCUCGUGUCGUGAGAUGUUGGGUUAAGUCCCGCAACGAGCGCAACCCUUGUCAUUAGUUGCUACAUUCAGUUGGGCACUCUAGUGAGACUGCCGGUGACAAACCGGAGGAAGGUGGGGAUGACGUCAAGUCCUCAUGGCCCUUAUAGGUGGGGCUACACACGUCAUACAAUGGCUGGUACAAAGGGUUGCCAACCCGCGAGGGGGAGCUAAUCCCAUAAAACCAGUCGUAGUCCGGAUCGCAGUCUGCAACUCGACUGCGUGAAGUCGGAAUCGCUAGUAAUCGUGGAUCAGAAUGUCACGGUGAAUACGUUCCCGGGUCUUGUACACACCGCCCGUCACACCAUGGGAGCGGGUUCUGCCAGAAGUAGUUAGCCUAACCGCAAGGAGGGCGAUUACCACGGCAGGGUUCGUGACUGGGGUGAAGUCGUAACAAGGUAA